GACGAACGCUGGCGGCGUGCCUAAUACAUGCAAGUAGAACGCACAGUUUAUACCGUAGCUUACUACACCAUAAACUGUGAGUUGCGAACGGGUGAGUAACGCGUAGGUAACCUGCCUGGUAGCGGGGGAUAACUAUUGGAAACGAUAGCUAAUACCGCAUAAUAUUAAUUAUUGCAUGAUAAUUGAUUGAAAGAUGCAAUUGCAUCACUACCAGAUGGACCUGCGUUGUAUUAGCUAGUAGGUGAGGUAACGGCUCACCUAGGCGACGAUACAUAGCCGACCUGAGAGGGUGAUCGGCCACACUGGGACUGAGACACGGCCCAGACUCCUACGGGAGGCAGCAGUAGGGAAUCUUCGGCAAUGGACGAAAGUCUGACCGAGCAACGCCGCGUGAGGGAAGAAGGUUUUCGGAUCGUAAAGCUCUGUUGUAAGAGAAGAACGGGUGUGAGAGUGGAAAGUUCACACUGUGACGGUAUCUUACCAGAAAGGGACGGCUAACUACGUG
rnacentral:rRNA from 1 species